rnacentral:rRNA from 1 species
UGAGAAUGCCGGAAUGAGUAGCGAGAAUUAUGUGAGAAUCAUAAUGGCCGAAAGACUGAGGUUUUAGAAGGAAGGUUCGUCCGCUUCUAGUUAGCCGGGAGCUAAGGCGAGGCCGAGAGGCGUAGUCGAUGCACAUACGGUUGAGAUUCCGUAGCCACCUUAAAUUUAAACUGAGGGACACAUCGAAAGGGCAUAACCCGGGCGUUGGUUGACCCGGGCGUAAGGGAACGAAGAUUAGUAGGGAAGUAUGCUUGGACGGUGGCGAGAAAAGCUCAGUGUAUAUAGCUAGGGUGCCCGUACUGCAAACCGACACAGGUAGUCAGGAAGAGAAUUCUAAGGCCAACGGGAGAAGGAUUGUUAAGGAACUCGGCAAAUUGGCCCCGUAACUUCGGAAUAAGGGGUGCUCACGAGAGUGAGCCGCAGUGAAUAGGUCCAGGCAACUGUUUAUCAAAAACACAGCUCUCUGCUAAAUCGUAAGAUGACGUAUAGGGGGUGACACCUGCCCGGUGCUGGAAGGUUAAGAGGAGGGGUGCAAGCUCCGAAUUGAAGCCCCAGUAAACGGCGGCCGUAACUAUAACGGUCCUAAGGUAGCGAAAUUCCUUGUCGGGUAAGUUCCGACCCGCACGAAUGGUGUAACGAUCUGGACGCUGUCUCAACUGCCCACCCGGCGAAAUUGUAGUACCGGUGAAGAUGCCGGUUACCCGCGGCAAGACGGAAAGACCCCAUGGAGCUUCACUGCAGCUUGAUAUUGGGUUUCGGUAUUCUAUUUACAGGAUAGGCGGGAGACAGAGAAACCAGCACGCCAGUGCUGGCGGAGUCGUCCUUGGGAUACCGCUAUUAGAGUAUUGGAAUUCUAACCUGCGGCCUUGAAUCAGGUCGGGGGACAUUGUCAGGUGGGCAGUUUGACUGGGGCGGUCGCCUCCAAAAGAGUAACGGAGGCGUUCAAAGGUUCACUCAGCAUGGACGGAAACCAUGCCCAAGAGUGCAAACGCAGAAGUGAGCCUAACUGCGAGACUGACGGGUCGAGCAGUAACGAAAGUUGGAGUUAGUGAUCCGGUGGUAUGUGAGUGGAAAUGCCAUCGCUCAACGGAUAAAAGCUACCCUGGGGAUAACAGGCUGAUCUCCCCCAAGAGU